rnacentral:rRNA from 1 species
AUUGAACGCUGGCGGCAUGCUUUACACAUGCAAGUCGAACGGCAGCAUAGGUGCUUGCACCUGAUGGCGAGUGGCGAACGGGUGAGUAAUAUAUCGGAACAUGUCCGGAAGUGGGGGAUAACGUAGCGAAAGUUACGCUAAUACCGCAUAUGCCCUGAGGGGGAAAGGGGGGGAUCGCAAGACCUCUCGCUUUCGGAGUGGCCGAUAUCGGAUUAGCUAGUAGGUGAGGUAAAGGCUCACCUAGGCGACGAUCCGUAGCUGGUCUGAGAGGACGACCAGCCACACUGGGACUGAGACACGGCCCAGACUCCUACGGGAGGCAGCAGUGGGGAAUUUUGGACAAUGGGCGCAAGCCUGAUCCAGCCAUGCCGCGUGAGUGAAGAAGGCCUUCGGGUUGUAAAGCUCUUUCAGACGGAGAGAAAUCGUGCAGAUUAAUACUCUGUAUGGAUGACGGUACCGUAAGAAGAAGCACCGGCUAACUACGUGCCAGCAGCCGCGGUAA